rnacentral:rRNA from 1 species
GACGAACCGUGCGAACGUUGUUCGGAAUCACUGGGCUUAAAGGGCGCGUAGGCGGGCGGGCAAGUCGGAGGUGAAAGCCCCCAGCUCAACUGGGGAAGUGCCCUCGAUACUGCCGGCCUGGAGGGAGGUAGGGGCGUGCGGAACUUCCGGUGGAGCGGUGAAAUGCGUAGAUAUCGGAAGGAACACCGGUGGCGAAGGCGGCACGCUGGGCCUUUCCUGACGCUGAGGCGCGAAAGCUAGGGGAGCAAACGGG